GCUGGCGGCGUCCAUGUUGGGGGCCUCCUUCCUCUCUGCAGGUCGCCCUCCUCUCCUCCACGCCCCUCCUCCUCUCUGGACAGCAAGCCCAUCAAGCUAUCAACAAGGUCCUCGCGGUCUUGUGAGGGGGUGCCGUUCGUGGCGGCAACGGCGAACUACAGAAUUCAGGACCACGAUGGGAUCCUCGACGACGUGUUGUUCUCAACAGGCCUCCUGGACGUCCGCCGCGUCGAAAUCUCCGAUGUGGCCGGUUGGGGAUUCUCCUGCGCCGGUGACAUAGAUGAAGGUCGUGGUUCUUCUUCUACUCCAUCUCUUCUCGGAAGAAGAGGAGUGUGCCUGCUUCCAUGACCCCGAGGAGGGAUUAUUCUCGGCCACUGGCGUCGCAAGCAGCACGACCCUCCCCUCGGAGGCCGCCCUAUCCUCUGCACGUCCCCCGAUGAAGUUGUGAAAGUUAAUCUGAAAUGGCUUUUGCAUCUGCCGCCAAGGCCACCGGAGUAGGCAGAAGUCCGCUCCCGGUGUUGAAGUCCUUCCUCUGCAUCUGUUUUCUUGGUUGGUGGUAGGUCCUGGUUGUUUUAGCUGGAUUUGUUUUUCAUCUGUUUUGCAGAUCGGUCCGGUCUGGUGGUCUGGUGACACACAUAGAGCAAGAAAGGCAAACAUAGUCCUUAUCAUGAUAUCCAUGUCAGCUAUGAAAUUGGUGCCGGUAGUUAGCGCCUACAUCGCAGCCAAGAAGAGCAAGGUAAGUCAUUAAUGUCGUAUGGUGUUACUCAUGGAUGUCCUCUGUGGGGUGCUUGCGCUUAUAUUUUUUUGUCCAAAAAUCUCGACUGCUUUUCUGUAUCUCGCACUCCAUGCCAAUGAUCUAUGUUUAAUCUUUGUAGACACAACAAGCUUAGAAGUAAUUUUUCAGCAAGCUACCUGUUUCAUGAUAAUAAUAAGCCCCUGUCAUGCUAAAUGCAAAUAUUGGUGGGUUUCUUACCUGUGGAUAUUCUUUGGUAGCAUUAUCUAUAGAUUUUAAAACAAAGUUGGCCAUGGAAGUCAAGGUGAUUAAUGAUGUGUUUGGAAAGAGGUCAUAGGUUGAUAAAUUGGUCGUAUCCUAUACAAUUUGGUUUCAUUCUGAACGAAUACCAUGUACUCCCAAUUAUGGUCGAUGUGAGAACAAAACUAUAACCUCUAACUUGAGAAGUGCCUGAACUAAUAAUGUUAGUGGACAGGAUUUUCAGAGAUAGAAGCUUUCAUAGUUUCUUGAUUACAGUUGAUUGAAGGUUUCUUGGUUUUCAGGCUAUCCAAUCUACUUUUCAGUAUGCAUGUGUAUUAUUAAUGCAAACAGAGAAGGGGCUAAACAUAGGCUGUAUUACUCGGAAUCUUAUCUGUCAUGUACCCUCAUACUUUCCACAUGAAAGGUCGAAGAAAGACUGGACAAGGACUCACUACUGGAAACUCGGUUACUAAUUUUUGUACAAAUACAUUUAGAAAAUAGAACUUUCAGACUUGCUGAUAUAAUGAUUAAACAUAUAAUAUAAUCGUGGGAUGAGGUUUCAGCAUUCGGAAGGAAAGGGUAAUGUCUACCAUCAGCUUCUUAUGCUUUCAUUGUUACUCCUGCUGGUUCAGGGGGUCAUGGGCAGAGAUGGCGGCAUUUGCCAUCCCGCGUACGGCUAGAAAGCUAGUGAUGCUAACAAGGCAGUGAAACACUGUUUAUAGAAAGCAGGUAAGCCGCAUAUCCAUUCCAGAAGACCAUAUGUGCACCUAUGAAUUGCUUAAUAUUUUUGUGCUCUUUUUGUUUAACUGAUCUGUAUGACUACUAUAUAAACUUAUUUGUAUGUAUUCUUCAUACAUUUAUAUUUAAUACCUAUGCUAAAUUAUCAGUUAUCACCAUGUAUAUUGUAAUGUACGACUCAUCAUUCUUUUCUACUGUCCGCGCAACAAUAUAAUUGGAAGAAUGUAUGGUGUUUUGUAUUGAGUAACUCCAAUAUAUAUUUAUUAUGAGCAGAAGUUCUAGCAGCUAGAAAACGUUAACAAUGAUUUUUUCUAAUUUAUUAGCUACUACUUUAGCGACAAGCAUUGUUGAUGAUUUGCUCUAAUCUUUGCCCCCCUGAAGUGCAAGUGCUGAUGGAUUCUCCUGCUGCUGCCAUGAGUAAACGGCCUGCCAGUGGUCACCGCCAACGCAUCGCUUCACGUUCUUCGCCUUUGUGUAGGCGGUACAUCGAGAGCUAGGCGAAUUCCUGUUCCGGUGAUUCCACACCAGCCAUUUUUAUUUGCUCUACUGUUGACCCUUUUUUGUGCCAUCUGUUGACCAUGCCGAGGAGUAUUUGGUGUUAAUUAUUCUAUGGAUAUGGAUGUUUGGAGGUACAGUUGCCAGGGAUACUUCCUACUUAGUCAGUUUCACUGAAGUCUUCUUUUGCUCUGAGCAGCAACAUCUUAUGUCAAGGACUGAUAUAUCUGUUUGAUAUUUUUGUUGUUUAUCUUGGUUCAAUUUUUGUUGUUUCAGAAAUUCGGAUCUAUGUCAUAGUCCAUUUAAACCAACCUGAUAUGACAAUAACUUUGUGAUUGAAAAAACAAAACCCCACAUUAGGGAUGAGUAUUUAUCCAUUUAGUUGUAUUUAGAUAUUUCUACAUUUGAAUUUCUCUGUUUGCUAGCAAGCAUGUCAUGAUUUCAUUCGCCUGUUAAUUUAGAAUUUAUCAAUUGUGCUCUCACUAAUUAGUUUACACUCAUUCUGAAGUAAAAUGAUGUGUUCAUACAUUUAUUGUAGCUAUCGUUGUAACAUGUCUUAUGUAGAUUUUUGUCAUUAUAUAUAUUACCCUAUUUGUGACAAAUAGAUCAAGUCCAAAUUAGCCUACUGAAGUCUUUUCAUGGUAUACAUAGUUUUCAUUUCACUAAUUCAAUAUGUCUGAGAUAAGGUAACCAUUGUAUAAUAAAUGAUCCAGUACGUGAUAAUCGAGGUCUCCAUGAGUAGUAGUGUGUUAUCACAACCAUUUAAGAAAAUAGUUCACAAAGCUUUAUUUUGAGGGUCCAAUGGUCAAUCUUAGCUAUACAUUGAAGUGUAAGCAUGGUUGCUUUACAUUAAAAACACUAUGUUUUCCUUUGAAAUCCGAAGAUCGAAGCUAGGACAUUUUUUCUCUCUAUAUGUUUACUGCAUAUUUUUCUCAUUAACUUUUCAAUGUACCAAUAAUUGAUUUUAAUUUUCCAUGGACAGUGAGCUCAGUACUCACACUUGACAACUUAUAGCUUCCAAGACAAGUUUGAUGUAUCAGAUACAGAGGCACAACAUGUUGAUCUGGAAUCAAGAAUAAUCACCAAUGCCAAGGCCCUACAAGUCCUCGCUCGAAGCCACCCUGCCACUUCGGGACCAACAAGGGAGAUUAUCAUCAUCCCCUCAUCUGACGAGGAGGAUGGCGAUGCGGCGUACUAUGGAGCUUCAGACCGACCGCCUGCAGCAGAAUACAGAUAACUUUGGGCACUAGCAGCGCCGCAUCUCUGAAUCUUCAGGUUUCUCUCCACGCAGUACCUGCCUUCACUUGGUAGUCUGCCUAGAAAAUGCACAAGUACCCAAAAAGCACUCAAGAUAGAAUUGUAGGCCGCAAUGCGGGACCAGUAUGAUCUGCUUUUGUUUGCCAGUAAAGUGAUCGCUGCCGUCAUCUAUAUUCUGUUGUUGUAGUCAAGCUCUAGCUAGCAUUAGACAUUUUCUGAUGGACAUGGAUCCUCUGAUAUAUAAUGAAGAAGCAUCAGUUAAAUUAUCUA